UACGGGGGGAGCAAGCGUUGUUCGGAUUUACUGGGCGUAAAGGGCGCGUAGGCGGCGCAACAAGUCACUUGUGAAAUCUCCGGGCUUAACCCGGAGCGGUCAAGUGAUACUGUCGUGCUAGAGUGCGGAAGGGGCUACUGGAAUUCUCGGUGUAGCGGUGAAAUGCGUAGAUAUCAAGAGGAACACCUGAGGUGAAGACGGGUUGCUGGGCUGACACUGACGGCUGAGGCGCGGAAAGACCAGGGGAGCAAACGGG
rnacentral:rRNA from 1 species